rnacentral:piRNA from 1 species
UUGGUCUUCUAUUCCAAGGGUAAGGU